rnacentral:rRNA from 1 species
UGAGUAAUGUCUGGGAAACUGCCCGAUGGAGGGGGAUAACUACUGGAAACGGUAGCUAAUACCGCACAACGUCGCAAGACCAAAGAGGGGGACCUUCUGGCCUCUUGCCAUCGGAUGUGCCCAGAUGGGAUUAUCUAGUAGGUGGGGUAACGGCUCACCUAGGCGACGAUCCCUAGCUGGUCUGAGAGGAUGACCAGCCACACUGGAACUGAGACACGGUCCAGACUCCUACGGGAGGCAGCAGUGGGGAAUAUUGCACAAUGGGCGCAAGCCUGAUGCAGCCAUGCCGCGUGUAUGAAGAAGGCCUUCGGGUUGUAAAGUACUUUCAGCGGGGAGGAAGGCGAUACGGUUAAUAACCGUGUCGAUUGACGUUACCCGCAGAAGAAGCACCGGCUAACUCCGUGCCAGCAGCCGC